GUUUCAAAUGGGAACAUAUUCCAAACUUGGCAGAGCAGCAGCUCAUCGAUGACCAGAAGACUCUCUUCUUCCCCACUAUUGUUCUCGCUCUCUCCCUCUCCAAAUUCAGUUCAAAUGGCAGAUCAGCUCACCAAUGAUCAGAUUUCCGAAUUCAAGGAAGCCUUCAAUCUUUUCGAUAAAGAUAUAGAUGGACAACAUUUCGAUUGAAUGUGAAGCAACAAAAUGUCAUUCUAACGACAUUCUUUAGAACUCGGCCUAGGUAUGGAAUCAAAUGUGCACAAUGUUGUCCAUUAGGGCUUGCCUUGAUCUGCGGGUUGUGGAAGUUGCUCCUUUUAUAGGAAACAACGAUUGUUUGUACAUUAUUUUCUAUUCAAAGGCUCUUGUACUGGAAAUUGAUGCAUACAAUGGAACAAUUCUCUAGCAAAAGAAUGUUGGUCCAUUAAGUUCUGCAGACUUUGCUCCCAACAGUUGAUUCCAUUGGUUGGAUCUCUUUUGGUUUACUAGAUGGGUUAUUUUACUCAUUUUCUUCUUGGGAUUCUCAAAAGGUUCUCUAAAUAAGACAAAUAAGAUUAUGUAAUCCAGAAUGACAGAAUCAGGUCAGCUUUCAUCCUUAAUCUUUGAGAGUGACUUGCUGCAUUUUCUUGUGCUGCAUUUUCGUAGGUCAGCUUUCAUCCUUAAUCUUUGAGAGUGACUUGCUGCAUUUUCUUGUGCUGCAUUUUCGUGUGGUUUACAGGAUCUUCUAGUCUUCGUUAGUGCCUCAAGUGAGAUACUUACCUAUCUUAGAAGUUAUUUUUAGUGAUUCAACUUAAAGUUCUUGAAAGAUUUUUGAUUUCAUUGCAGAGAUGGUAGUCCACUUCAUUGCCAUAGCAAAAGUAAUGAAUUCUUAAAACUUGAUAUAAAUAUAUUAAUUCAUUUAUUUGGGUUAGUUUUCUAAUAGCUUCUCCAAAUGUUGGUUGGUUACCAAGUCAAAAACUUGAAUCAAGCUAUUCUCUUUCAGAACCCAAACAUGAUGACAUCUACACAGGUAAUCCCAGGCUUGUCAAUAUUUCAUAAGAAAAAACAGAUUAUUUCCAAAAACUAUCUUUUAUGAUUUAAAAAAAUUUGAAUGAAAUGAGCAGGAAACUGUGGUAUUUCUGGUAUUGAAGUCAGUAGUAUUGAUCCUUUUGGCAAUUGGUGUUAGAUUCUGUUCCACACUCUGAAAAAAAGAAGUAAAGGUGAACAAGAGUGGGAAGUUUCUGACAAAAUUGAAAACAAUUUGGUUUGCUGGAAAUGUCUCAAGCAUUCAGGUUAAAGUCUAAAGAUAAAAAUGCAACCCAGGAGCUGGGGAAGUGAAAGCUCAUUUAGUAGACAGCAAGAAGUGGAAGCCUAUCAGAGAAGCCUCUCUGUGUUGAAGCGAGAUAUGGCCAAUAAAAUGCAUUUUAUUGAUCCGGUUCUAUUCAAUGCAAAUGCUCAUGCGCUGGAAUUAUAAAUUACAGAGGCCGAAAAGAAAGGGAAACUUGUGACAAGUUGUAGUAAGCAUAAAGAACUAAGUACAGUAAAGUUUUUGUAAUAUUUCCUAUUUCUAUUUAACAAAGUAUGAAUAGUUCCUUGAA